CUACGGGCGGCAGCAGUAAGGAAUAUUGCGCAAUGGAGGCAACUCUGACGCAGCCAUGCCGCGUGCAGGAAGAAGGCCUUAUGGGUCGUAAACUGCUUUUAUUUAGGAAUAAACCCCCGAACGUGUUCGGGGCUGAAGGUACUAAACGAAUAAGCACCGGCUAACUCCGUGCCGAGCAGCCGCGGUAAUACGGAGGGUGCAAGCGUUAUCCGGUUUUAUUGGGUUUAAAGGGUGCGCAGGCGGGCUAUUAAGUCAGUGGUGAAAUCCCGGGGCUCAACUCCGGAACUGCCAUUGAUACUGAUAGUCUUGAGUUUGGUUGAAGUGGGCGGAAUGUAGCAUGUAGCGGUGAAAUGCAUAGAUAUGCUACAGAACACCAAUCGCGAAGGCAGCUCACUAAGCCAAAACUGACGCUCAUGCACGAAAGCGUGGGGAUCAAACAGGAUUAGAUACCCCCGUAGUC
rnacentral:rRNA from 1 species